rnacentral:rRNA from 1 species
UACGGGGGGAGCAAGCGUUGUUCGGAUUUACUGGGCGUAAAGGGCGCGUAGGCGGUCGUGACAAGUCACUUGUGAAAUCUCCGGGCUUAACUCGGAACGGUCAAGUGAUACUGUCGGACUAGAGUGCAGAAGGGGCAACUGGAAUUCUCGGUGUAGCGGUGAAAUGCGUAGAUAUCGGGAGGAACACCGGUGGCGAAGGCGGUUCUCUGGGCCUUACCUGACGCUGAGGAGCGAAAGCGUGGGGAGCGAACAGG